rnacentral:rRNA from 1 species
CAAGGAAUUUUGGGCAAUGGGGGCAACCCUGACCCAGCGACGCCGCGUGGGGGAAGACGGCCUUCGGGUUGUAAACCCCUUUUCUUGGUGACGAAGGUGACGGUAGCCAAGGAAGAAGCCCCGGAUAACUACGUGCCAGCAGCCGCGGUAAUACGUAGGGGGCGAGCGUUGUCCGGAAUUACUGGGCGUAAAGCGCACGUAGGUGGUUGUCUAAGAUGGGUGUGAAAUCCCCGGGCUCACCUCGGGGGG